GGUGCACCCGGCGGCCCGCGCGAGUCCUCCCCGCACCUCCCCCGAGGCGGGGCUCUUCGCCGCUCGCCUAAACCACCGCGCGGUGCGUCUCCCGACUUGCCCGCUAGCGCGCUGAAGCGUGAGGUCGCCGCUGGCCCCUCCACGACCCUGCGCGCGCCCCCGCUGGGGCCUAGUUAGCGUGCGGCCACGCAGAGAGCAGGAUAUAGAAAGUCUCGGGAAACCGUUGCGGAGGGCCGGCCACGGUGGAAUGCUGAAUUACAUCUACAUAGCUAACAGGUAACCCUCCCUUUGGAUUGGGCUUCCCUGGUGGCUCAGUGAUAAAGAAUUCACCUGCCAAUGCAGGAGCUGUAGGAGACUCGGGGUCAACCCCUGGGUCAGGAAGAUCCCCUGGAGACUCGGGUCAACCCCUGGGUCAGGAAGAUCCCCUGGAGAAGGAAAUGGUUCAUCUAAUCAAACACAGCCAGAACUGAUUCCUUGCUCUGAAAUAUACACAUGGCUUAGCAAAACAGAAAGUGGAUGACUAGAAUAUGGAUUUCCAUGUAAACUGGUUCAACUGCUAUGGAAAAUAAUAUGACGGUUCCUCAAAAAAGUAAAAAUAGAUCUACCGUAUCAUCCAGCAAUUCCACUUCUGGGUAUAUAUCCAAACGAAAUUAGAACAAGACAUCAAAGAGAUAAGAUUACUCCAAAGUUUAUUGAAACAUUAUUCACAACAGCCAACGUAUGGAGACAACCUCAGUGCUCAUAAAUGGAUGUGUGGUGCUUGGAUGAAGAAGAUGUGAUAUAUAUAUAUUUUUCCUUUCCCAUGAGAAAGGACAUUCUGCCAUCUGCAACAAUAUAGAUGGACCUUGAAGACUCAAUAUUAAGAUGUUAAUUCUCAAAAAUUGAUUUAUAAAAUCAAAGCAGUUAUAAUCAAUUUCUUGGCAGGAUUCUCACUCCCUUUCCUCCCCCCCUCUUCUUUUUCCUCUGUAGAAAUUGCUGCACUAAUCCUGAAAUUUAUAUAGAUAUGCAUAUGAAAAGGACCUAAAAUAGCCAAAACAGUGUUCAGAGAAGAAGAAAGCAAUCGGAGAACUUAAAUUAUAUGGUUUUAAGACUUAGUAGGAAAAAAACUAUGGUAGUCAAAAAAGUUUGGACCUUAAACUUACAAAUGUAACACAUUAAUUAUAUCUUAAUAGAGCUGAGGGGAAAAAACCCUUAUUGGCCAUUUUGGGUUCUGAAUCAAGGUUUUCAAUCCUUGGCAUCUUAUUAAAUGUUUUACAGUUUAAAGGAACACAUAGCAUUAUACUUUUCUCUGAACAAUUCCUUUCCUGAUUUGGAUUGGAAAAUUGAUCAAGAUUUUGUAAAAGGCACACAAAUACAACCCUAAGUAAAGAGGCCUUUAGUUGUUGUUGUCUAGUCACUAAGUUGUGUCUGACUGUUUGCAACUCCAGGCUCCUCUCUGUCCAUGAGAUUUCCCAGGCAAGAAUACUGGAGUGGAUUGCCAUUUCCUCCUCCGGGGGACCUUCCCUACCCAAGGAUUGAACCCACUCUUGCACUGCAGGUGGAUUCUUUACCACUGAACCACCUGGGAAGCCCUGUGGCUCUGAUAUUGCUUUUAAACAUUGUGAGCCUCAGUCCUGGCUAAGGUUGCUUGUGGAUGUUUGAGAGCAGGGGAGCAACCAGUGAGAGAACCAUUGUUUUUGGAUAAUCUAUGAUGAGAUGGUUAGAUAGCAUCACAGACUCAAUGAACAUGAAUCUGAGCCAACUCUGGGAGACAGUGAAGGACAAGGGAGUCUGGUGGGCUGCAGUCCAUGGGGUCACAGAGAGUCGGAGAUGACUUAGUGACUGGACAAUGACAGCGACACAACAUGGCAGAUGCUUUAGGGGAUUUUAUCUCAUACUUGCAUCAUCAGGCAGGUACAGCAUUACCCUUAAUUUAUGGAAAAGUGAGAGGUGAAGGCAAACAAGAUCCUUUGAGUUCAGAUUUAAAACUUAUUGUCCUAAAAGCAGAAGUGCUCAAGGGGACUUGUCUGGAGGUUCAGUGGUUAAAAGUCCACUCUUCCAAAGCAGGGGAUGGGGGUUCAAUUUCUUGUUGGGGAACUAAGAUCCCACAUGCUUUGUGGCCAAAAAUAGGGGAAAAAGCAGAAGUGCUCAGCUUUGAUAUCUUAGACUCUCAUAUACUUUAUUCUGAAGCUCUCUUCACUUAUAAUCAAUGACUGGCCUGUCCAAUGGAGCUUCCCAGGUGGCACAGUGGAAAAGAAUCUGCCUGUCAAUGCAGGAGACACAGGAGAUGCGGGUUUGAUCCCUGGGUUGGGAAAAUCUCCUGGAGGAGGAAAUGGCAACCUACUCCAGUAUUCUUGCCUGGGAAAUUCCAUGGCUUCCGAUGCUGGUGGUCUACAGUCCAUGGGGUCACAAAGAGUCAAAUGUGACUGAGCAACUGAGCACGCACAGGCACACACACACACACACACACACACAGCCCUGUCCAAUAUGUUUACCAGAGUGGCUGCUGAAUGCUUGCAGAGCAAUUAAUCCAAAUUGAGUUAUGCUGUGUCAAAUACAUAUCAAAAUUCAAAGUCUUGGUGUGAACAAAAAAUUUUAAAUAUCUCAUUAUUUUUGUACUGCCUGUAUGUUGAAAUUAUAUUAUUUGGAUAUAUUGGGUUAAGGUAUAUUAUUACAGUAAAAAGAGAGCUUGGUAUUAGCAUAAGAUAGACAAAUCAAUAAAUGAAACAAAUAGUCUAGAGCUACUCAUAUACUGUCAAUUGAUUUUCAACAUAGGUACCAUGAUAAUUUAAUAGGGAAAGGAUAAUCUUUUCAAUAUAUGGUGCUAUAUAACUUAAUACCUGUACAGAGAAAAAUGAACCCUGACUUUUAAUAUAUGUGAAAAAUUAAUUCAAAAUUAACUUGAAGUUAUUAACUAAAACUAUGAAGUUUGUAGACCCAAAUAGGAGAAUAUCAGUGAAACUUGAGGUAGUCAAUGACUUAGAGUGUAAAACCACUAACCAUGAAAGAUUGAUUUUUAAAAAGACUGAUUAAUUGUACUUCAUGAAAAUUGAAAACUUCUCAAAAGUCACACACCAUUAAAAAAAUCUAAACACAAGCUACACAUUAGGGGAAAAUACUUGCAUCAUGUAUCUGAUCAAAAAACUGUAUCCAAACUGUAUCAAGGAGUCCAAUAAUUCAGUGAUAGACAAAAAUGCCAAUAAAAAUGAAAAGCAAAAUAUUAAAAAAAAAAGAGAAAGAAAUAUGGAUUUCUGAACUUUGAGAGUCACUAGAAUUACAUAGAUGAACUCCAGGGAAGUUUUAGGGAUGGUUCCUGAGUGAGGUGGCUGGUCUCUUUCACAUCUGAGCUUAUAUCAUUCUACAGCUUUUUUCUUCCUCCAGGUCUGAUAUGGGGUCUCCCUGGUGGUUUCCCUGGUGGCUCAGUGGCUCUGCCAAUACAGGAGUCAUGGGUUCGGUCCCUGGGUUGGAAAAAUCCCCUGGAGAAGGAAAUAGCUACCCACUCCAGUAUUCUUACCUGGGAAAUCCUGUGGACGGAGGAGCCUGGUGGGCUUCAGGCCAUGGGGUCUCAAAGAGUCACACAAC